rnacentral:rRNA from 1 species
AGUGAACGCUGGCGGUAGGCCUAACACAUGCAAGUCGAACGGCAGCACAGUAAGAGCUUGCUCUUACGGGUGGCGAGUGGCGGACGGGUGAGGAAUACAUCGGAAUCUACUUUUUCGUGGGGGAUAACGUAGGGAAACUUACGCUAAUACCGCAUACGACCUACGGGUGAAAGCAGGGGAUCUUCGGACCUUGCGCGAUUGAAUGAGCCGAUGUCGGAUUAGCUAGUUGGCGGGGUAAAGGCCCACCAAGGCGACGAUCCGCAGCUGGUCUGAGAGGAUGAUCAGCCACACUGGAACUGAGACACGGUCCAGACUCCUACGGGAGGCAGCAGUGGGGAAUAUUGGACAAUGGGCGCAAGCCUGAUCCAGCCAUACCGCGUGGGUGAAGAAGGCCUUCGGAUUGUAAAGCCCUUUUGUUGGGAAAGAAAAGCAGCAGGUUAAUACCCCGCUGUUCUGACGGUACCCAAAGAAUAAGCACCGGCUAACUUCGUG